UAGGCAGACGCCUGUUGGGUAUAAGGCAUUUAGCUGUUAACUAGAAUUUCAUGGGAUCGAAGCCCAUCUGCCUAG
rnacentral:tRNA from 1 species